GACGAACGCUGGCGGCGUGCCUAAUACAUGCAAGUAGAACGCUCAAGAGAGGAGCUUGCUCUUCUUGGAUUAGUUGCGAACGGGUGAGUAACGCGUAGGUAACCUGCCUUUUAGCGGGGGAUAACUAUUGGAAACGAUAGCUAAUACCGCAUAACAAUGGAUGACACAUGUCAUUUAUUUGAAAGGGGCACUUGCUCCACUACAAGAUGGACCUGCGUUGUAUUAGCUAGUGGGUAAGGUAAUGGCUCACCAAGGCAACGAUACGUAGCCGACCGGAGAGGGGGACGGGCAAAAUGGGAACGAGAAACGGCCCAGAAUUCUAAGGGAGGGAGGAGGAGGGGAAUGUCGGGAAUGGGGGGAAAGCCGAACGAGGAAAGGCGGGGGAGGGAAGGGGGGUUUCGGAUUGGAAAGACCUGUUGAAAGGGAAGAAAGGGUGGGAGAGGGGAAAGUGCACGCUGUGACGGUAGCUAACCAGAAAGGGACGGCUAACUACGUG
rnacentral:rRNA from 1 species